CAGAGAGCAAGCUUCAGUACACAAACACAUGUACACACACACAUGUACACGAAGUCACACACAUGUACACAAAGUCACAAACACAUGUACACAAAGUCACAAACACAUGUACAGUCACAAACACAUGUACACAAAGUCACAAACACAUGUACAGUCACAAACACAUGUACACAAAGUCACAAACACAUGUACAGUCACAAACACAUGUACAUAAACACAUACACACACAAAUGUACACGAAGUCACACACACAUCAUGACAUGUACACAGUAACAAACACAAGUACACACACACGUAUACACAUACAUGCCAACUUUCCCGAUUUAGGCGGGAUCUUCCCGAUUUUACCCUCCGGUCCCGCUUUCCCGAUCGGGAAAGCAAAAUUACCCUAAAAUCCCGAUUUGAAAUUUUUUCCGACCAAAAUUUCCGAUUUCACGAUUGAAAACGAGUUUGAAAGCGGGAUAAUCGUGAAAUCUCGUGACCAGAAUUGGAAAUCCCGCGUCAUUUCUGAACAGGCCAAUCAGAAAUCGGGUCAAUAGUCAGCCAUUGCUGUUUACCUGUGACGCAUGGUGUCGGGUUGGUCUGCCUGUGUCGGGGUGUUUAUUGGACAGUACGAAGCAUGUUUUGAUAGUAAUUAAUCGGGAAGACGGAUUUCAAAUUGACCUAUCCUUUACACAAACGUGAAUGACAACGAUGAUAGUGUCACCACCAAACACUCGGACAUUCCGCCUCUCGCUGACAGCAUCCAAAAUUUGCAAUAAGAUGUCAUGGGUGCAAAGGUUUUGUUCGCAAACUUCAUAGCAGGGCAGAUCACUCCUUUUUUGGUUGCAAUGCAGAUUAUUCCACCAGUCUCUGCAAGCCCAUGUUUACAGACAAGCAAGAUCGCCUUUGCAGUCGUACCUAAAUGCAUGUGCUUUAAUUUAAAUUUUGAUAUAUAGACCGGCCAAUGUUUAUUGUAUGGUGUAAAAGGAUGCAACCUUAAAUAUUAUUUGAUAUUAUGUAUGUGACUUGUUGGAGAAGAUUUUUUGCUGAAUAGAUGAUUUUAAUAAAAUGUUAAUGUAUA